CACGUCGAUGCUGUGCACGCGCCCUGCACCCCCCGCGCCGCUUCCGCAGCCCUUCAGCAACACCUGCUGCUGCAGGGCCCCUGCCUCCAGCACGUUCAUGGGGCCCUCCUGCAAGGCCAGCUCUUUUCAUCUGCAAGGAAAGAAGAGAGAGAAGGAGGGUGAGGAACGUCCUGGCCCCCUGGAUUCUGCGUCAGAACCACCGUCCACUGCCAUCACCCACCCCUCUGGCCCUCAGAUGCAGCAGCACCAGGCUCCCAGGACAGAAACAUUCCCCAGACCAGCUUGUUUGGGAUUUCUGGGGAUUUCCCCCCCAAAACUUUGAAGUUUAACAGAAAUGCAAAGAAAGAAAAGCAAAAGGAAAGAAAAAAAAGAGGAAAAGUAAAAGAAAAAGAAGAAAAAUGUAACAAAAGGAAAGCAAAGCAAAGAAAAGAAAAGACAGACGACUGACAGGCUGUUUCCAGCUUUGUUGAUAAACUCAGAAUAUUUGUUUGUACCCAUUUGCUUUUCAAAUCUAUUUCUUAAGAGCAGAGCCAAGGAAGCCAAAAUAUCCAGGGGUCUGGCUUCUUAUUUGGAUGACCUGUGACUAGCAGCAGGUGAAUGGAGUGGGCCAGAUUCUGCCCUCUGAUCCUUAGGUAUAAAGCAGGAGGGAGCCAGUGGAAGUCAGUGAUGGAGUUACUCUGGUGGGAGGGAGAGGAGAACUGGGCCACACCCGCAAGCAUCAAGUUUUUAGUGCUACUUUUCUGCUGAUUUCCAGAGCCCAUUUUACACCCCAUUUGCCCCUCAGCCCCCUCCCUCCCCAGCCCCCCAUGCAUGACGUUAGCACGUCUGUCCCCCCCAGUGACCACCGCAGCACCUGCGCUUCGUUCCAGAGAGCACAGUUCUUUUUCAGCAGCUCUCCCCCACCUCUCCCUGCUGAACAGAAGAAAACAAAAUUACCUGCUGGGCCCCGCUUGGAUUUUCCAGGAGUAUUUAACUUGGGAGGUCCCUCCUGGAAACCAAACAAGCGGCUCAACCUCACCAAUCUUGCAGCUUGGCAGCCAAAGUUCCCUCUAGUCUCCUUAUUUGUCACAGAACCAUCUCACUAAGGCUCGAGAGAAUCUUUAUUUAGUCUUGCAGAUGUCACCGGGCCCUGCAGAUUGGAAAUGAGUCCAAAGGAUUAAGGCGAGGUCAUUAAUUGGAGGCCUUCCCCUUUAAGAAUGAUUGACAGUUACUUUCUGGACAAGUAAUUGCUCUAAAUGUCCCUCCAGUUCAGGGGAGGGGGAGAACUCUGAUGAUGGACAAAGACGGGAACUGCCUUCCCCACUCAGAUUGUCUCCCGUACAAAGGCGUCCUGCUGGAGUUUUCCUUGUAAUCCCCUCAUUACUGAAGAGGAAAAGAAUUAGAAACACAGAAUGAGGAGAAGAAAGGCAGAAGGGGCUGCACGGGGAGAAAGAGAAACAAUUUGCUUUGGCCUUUUUAGCAGCCCAGAGUUUUGGCGGAGGGAAGUUCACUGACUCAGGCCUCAAGCACGGCCCUGUGGGGAAGGCGCAACCCCUCGCCCGCCUGCUCCUUGGUGGGCACAAGGCCAUGCGCCGGGCUCCCAUGGCCGCCAGGACCCUUUACCAGCCCAGCUGCAGGGAGAAAGGCUGGCUGGCUCUGUAGCUAGAGGCUUUGGAGUCAGGAGUGGUAGGUUCAUAUCCUGCCUUUUUUGUGGACUCCUUGGGUAAAAUGACUAAUUUCGCCAGGGCCUCAGUUCCUCUCCUGUAGCAUGGGAGUAAUAGCCCUUCCCAGGUCUGUGGGGAGGGUAAACUCGGGGGGCAGGAGCUGCCUCUUGUUACAGGAUACCACUCAUGAGAGCUGCCCUCUAUGAUGGUGGGAACACACAGGCUAUUUCUUUCAUAUCCCUGCCCCACAAAACAUGACUGGCUCUGGGGGGAGGUGAAGAUCCCCCACUGACAGCACAAGAAUACCAGCA